AUGAACGCUGGCGGCGUGCUUAACACAUGCAAGUCGCACGAUGAAGCCCAGCUUGCUGGGUGGAUUAGUGGCGAACGGGUGAGUAACACGUGAGUAACCUGCCCUUGACUCUGGGAUAAGCCUGGGAAACUGGGUCUAAUACUGGAUAUGACUUCUCAUCGCAUGGUGGGGGGUGGAAAGAUUUAUUGGUCUUGGAUGGACUCGCGGCCUAUCAGCUUGUUGGUGAGGUAAUGGCUCACCAAGGCGACGACGGGUAGCCGGCCUGAGAGGGUGACCGGCCACACUGGGACUGAGACACGGCCCAGACUCCUACGGGAGGCAGCAGUGGGGAAUAUUGCACAAUGGGCGCAAGCCUGAUGCAGCGACGCCGCGUGAGGGAUGACGGCCUUCGGGUUGUAAACCUCUUUCAGUAGGGAAGAAGCGAGAGUGACGGUACCUGCAGAAGAAGCGCCGGCUAACUACGUG
rnacentral:rRNA from 1 species